AUGGCAGGAUUUAAAUGUCCGAACCAGCACGUCGUAGGCCCAGACGGUGCCGAACCUUUUGUUCAGUUGGCUGUACGAAACUGGCAGUUUUUACAUGCCCCUCUAGCAUGCCAUGGCUCAGAACAUUUGACAAAUUACCACCAUCAGCCAAGUCAAAAGAUUGCCCGAAGUAGCCACUGGCGAUGCCUGCUAGUUGAGAAAGGUGCAACUGCUUUUGUUCUGACUACGACUGGAAAGUCAGACAGUAGGUUGCCAUUUCUGGGCUACUACCCCAGAAAGGUGCGGCCUAGCAUUCCUUGUUUGCCAUGGCGAAAUUCAGCAAAUGCUAAAAUCAGAACCUUAUCCAUCUAA
rnacentral:rRNA from 1 species